rnacentral:rRNA from 1 species
AAGUAGGGGUCCCGCGUUGAUGGGAAAGAGAGGGCGUAAAGGGUGUGUAGGUGGCUGAUUAAGUUAAGGAUGAAAUCCCGAGGCUCAACUUCGGAACUGUCCUUGAUACUGGUCAGCUUGAGGCUAGUAAAGGAGAGCGGAAUUCCCGGUGGAGCGGUGAAAUGCGUAGAUAUCGGGAGGAACACCAGAGGCGUAGGCGGUUCUCUAGGCUAGUCCUGACUCUGAGACACGAAAGCUAGGGGAGCAAACGG